rnacentral:rRNA from 1 species
GACGAACGCUGGCGGCGUGCUUAACACAUGCAAGUCGAACGAAGAGCGACGGAAGCUUGCUUCUAUCAAUCUUAGGGGCGAACGGGUGAGUAACGCGUAAUCAACCUGCCCUUCAGAGGGGGACAACAGUAGGAAACGACUGCUAAUACCGCAUACGAUCUAACCUCGGCAUCGAGGAUAGAUGAAAGGUGGCCUCUACAUGUAAGCUAGCACUGAAGGAGGGGAUUGCGUCUGAUGAGCUAGUUGGAGGGGAAACGUCCCACCAAGGCGAGGGUCAGUCGCCGCUCUGCGAUGACGGACGGCCACAUUGGGAGUGUGACACGGCCCAGUCGCCUACGGGAGGCGGCAGUGGGGAUUCGUCCGCAAUGGACGGAAGUCUGACGGAGCAACGCCGCGUGAGUGUUGACGGCCUUCGGGUUGUAAAGCUCUGUCAAUCGGGAGGAAAGGGCUUCUUGCGAAUAGUGAGCGUGAUUGACGGUACCGGAAUAGAAAGCCACGGCUAACUACGUG